rnacentral:rRNA from 2 species
CCCCUUCCCAUCCCGAACAGGACCGUGAAACGACUUUGCGCCGAUGAUAGUGCUGCAACCAGUGUGAAAGUAGGUUAUCGUCAGGC